rnacentral:rRNA from 1 species
UAAUACGUAGGGGGCAAGCGUUGUCCGGAUUUACUGGGUGUAAAGGGCGCGCAGGCGGGAUAGCAAGUCAGAGGUGAAAUCCUACAGCUUAACUGUAGAACUGCCUUUGAUACUGUUAUUCUUGAGUUCGGGAGAGAGAGACGGAAUUCCAGGUGUAGUGGUGAAAUACGUAGAUAUCUGGAAGAACACCAGUUGCGAAGGCGGUCUCUUGGUCCGAUACUGACGCUGAGGCGCGAAAGCGUGGGGAGCAAACAGG